AAAAAUCCGUUACGUUAGAGGCCAAUUUCAGAAAAAAAAAGGUUAGUGGCAUAUAUCCAAAAGCCCCCAAAGGUUGAAGGCUUUUUUUGCAAUUCUGCCAAGAAUAAUAGUUAAGCAAGUUGAAAUAUCAUUAUAAAAAUGCUAGUAAGCUUCAGUCAAGGCCACCGAAGCAAGACGAUGAGCCACCUUAUUAGCACUUCGACGUACCCAAUGGAAGUACACAUUCUAAAAUUGUACCAACUGAGUUCGGCAAUCAUCAACUAAAAUUCCGAGUGCUGAAAAAUCUAGAAUCAAAUACUGUAAAGCAGUAAAAACCUCUAACAAAUCCAUCUCUACUACAACCUUAUCAAAAUCUUUGACCUUAAGCCAUGGCAAAGCUUAUCGGGCUGAAACAAUUUUUGCAAUACAUCGUCCAAACAGUCUAGAACGGUAGCCUAAGAACACUUUCAAAAAGUCACCAUAAUUAUCUUGUACAACUGCGGCAAAACCGACAGAUCAAGCAAACAUAUCCAAAGUCGCAUCAAUUUUGCACUUAACAAAGCCAAGUUCAUUGAAAAGAGGAACGACAUAUUGUCAAAUAGCACAAUUUCUA
rnacentral:lncRNA from 1 species